CAGUCGCCACGGGAAUACAGAGGGUGCAAGCGUUAAUCGGAAUUACUGGGCGUAAAGCGCGCGUAGGUGGUUUGUUAAGUUGGAUGUGAAAUCCCCGGGCUCAACCUGGGAACUGCAUCCAAAACUGGCAAGCUAGAGUAUGGUAGAGGGUGGUGGAAUUUCCUGUGUAGCGGUGAAAUGCGUAGAUAUAGGAAGGAACACCAGUGGCGAAGGCGACCACCUGGACUGAUACUGACACUGAGGUGCGAAAGCGUGGGGAGCAAACAGGAUUAGAUACCCCCGUAGUCCCUGUCUCUUAUCC
rnacentral:rRNA from 1 species